UGGUCCAGUUAUGCCAUAUUUUAGGUAAACCUGAUUUUGUGGGUUCAUUUUUUUUUGUGUGUGCUGUUUCUUGUUGCCAAGAGGUUAGGUAACUCAAUAAGAUUUAGAGAGGAUGCCCGGUGAUAUCCCUUCCCUCGAUAAGCCUUUCUUUUUCAAUGUGUUGAAUAUAAGGCGAGGCACUACAGAGAAGUUCAAGUCCACCCUGGGGUCCCAUCCUAUCUCUCUAUCCCACUAUCCCACUCAGCUCCUUCGUGUCUCGUUCCUGUCUCUUCACUGCCCUAUCGGGACAAAAAGACACAUAGAGGGGUGAGAGAGGUCCCAGGUAUCAUCAAAUUCCGACCUUCCACUACAGUGUGCUUCAAAUGCUGAACUUUAUUCGGAGGCCCGAAAGAAAAAGGUCAGAACUAUCUCUCACAUUACCAAACCACUAAUAUUUUAACAGCAUGUUUUCUGCCUGUUGGAUUAAGCUCAUGGGUCUUGAGAUUGAUUUUUCCUUAUUCUACCACAGGAACACAUUGUAGAAAGACAAAUGUCAUAUGUUCUUUAUAUAUACAGUAUGUC